rnacentral:lncRNA from 1 species
CCCCGGCCUCUGGUUUUUGUCCCCGCCAGCGGCUCCGACUCCAUCGCGUCCUCUUCCAGUCUAGUGCUUUUUUCCAGAUCUCGAUCCCAAACUCCCUCCUGCCAGAAUCUGGACCCGAAUCCACCCAUUGCCCGUUUUCCGCUGCCGCUGGAGAGAAUCUCUGAGGUCCCCAGGAGAGCCUGCCUGCACGGAAGAGACGCCUCCUCGGGAAAUUUGUGCACAGAGAUAACACAGGGGAUAUGCCAUAUGAAGAUGAAGGCAGAAUUCUACAAGCCCAGGGAUGCCAAAGAUUGCCAGCAAACCACCAGAAGCUAGGAGAGAAGUGUGGAUUAGAUUCUUCCUCACAGCCCUCAGAAGGAUCCAGCCCUGCCAAGAACUUGAUCUCAGACUUCUAGUCUCCAGAACUGUGAGACAGUGCAUUUUGUUUUGUAAGUCAGCCAUAUGGUUUGUGGCACUUUUUUAUGGCAGCCCUAGGAGAUGAAGACAAUAUGCAACAUGGUAUGUCCAUUAUAGGACACUGUGGGCCAUAAAUGUGUUCUUUGGCCUGAAGAAAUAAAACUUG